UUUCAACAGACGUCGUCUUGAUCCUUCUCCUCUGGAAAGGCCACGUGGCAGGUAUAUAGGUAUUCAGACGUUCCUGAGUACUGGACAGACCAUAUUUUCCAGAAUACAUUGACAAGGAAAACGCCAAGGAGUGUGGAGAUGCAUCGCAGAUCUACCUGUCUGUUUCUGUCUUCUUCACCUGUCUCACUGCCUCCUUCACCUGUCUCAAGGCCUCCACGCUGGUUUUCCGAUGACAGACAGACAGCUACCAAGCCUAAACCCCGCCCCCUUCUGAAUCGGUAUCUCCCUGGAAUGUUCCAGAAUGCCUGAACUUAGCAUGCCUGCUGCUGUUUGCGUUAUCUUUAUCAAUCAAUAUGACUAUAUGACUUAAGUUAUGAUAUUUAUCAUUUUGGCUGAUGGACUGAGAGGAAUAAGCUGUUGACUUCAGAUGCUUGAUGACUUUACAAUCACAGAGAGCUGUUGACUGACUCCAUGCUUGAUGAUUAAAUGUGGCCUGGGUUUUCACUGUUGGUAAUGGAUGGACUGUUUCAGGAAAAACCUUCAAGUCACGUAUCAUAUAUGCAAUCUAAGACUUACUAAACCAAUUGACCGAGUUGGCUUACUGUAACACAAGAACCAUUACUGACUACCUACUUCUGUGUUGGACUACUAGGUGGAACAGCCAU